rnacentral:rRNA from 1 species
GGCGAGUGAAGCGGCAACAGCUCAAAUUUGAAAUCUGGCUCUUUCAGGGUCCGAGUUGUAAUUUGUAGAGGGUGCUUUGGAGUCGACUGUGGUCUAAGUUCCUUGGAACAGGACGUCGCAGAGGGUGAGAAUCCCGUAUGUGGCCGCCAGUCUUCUCCGUGUAAAGCCCCUUCGACGAGUCGAGUUGUUUGGGAAUGCAGCUCUAAAUGGGAGGUAAAUUUCUUCUAAAGCUAAAUAUUGGCCAGAGACCGAUAGCGCACAAAUAGAGUGAUCGAAAGAUGAAAAGCACUUUGGAAAGAGAGUCAAAAAGCACGUGAAAUUGUUGAAAGGGAAGCGCUUGCAGCCAGACUUGCCUGUAGGUGCUCAUCCGGGCUUUUGCCCGGUGCACUCUUCUAUAGGCAGGCCAGCAUCAGUCGCGGCGGUUGGAUAAAUGUCUGCACAAUGUACCUCUCUUCGGGGAGGACUUAUAGGGCAGGCGGCAUACAACCAGCUGCGAUUGAGGUCCGCGCAUCUGCUAGGAUGCUGGCGUAAUGGCUGUAAGCGGCCCGUCUUGAAACACGGACCAAGGAGUCUAACAUCUAUGCGAGUGUUUGGGUGUCAAGCCCGAGCGCGUAAUGAAAGUGAACGGAGGUGGGAACCCCUCGGGGUGCACCAUCGACCGAUCCUGAUGUCUUCGGAUGGAUUUGAGUAAGAGCAUAGCUGUUGGGACCCGAAAGAUGGUGAACUAUGCCUGAAUAGGGUGAAGCCAGAGGAAACUCUGGUGGAGGCUCGCAGCGGUUCUGACGUGCAAAUCGA